AAAUGUAACAUCCAUAUAUGGCCAGCUAUGUAAAGUUUAACAUUGAUUUAUCCUGCAAUAGUUGUUGUUCAAUUGGAAACAUACAUUUUUGUCUUCUUAUAAUGCCUCUUAAGGUGAAAGUAAUGUAAAAGUAAAUGAAUGUAAACGGUUUGCAUUACUGAGUUUGGGGAAUCCAAAAGUUACAUUACUGAUUACAACGUGGACAAGUAACUCGUAACUGUAACAGAUUACAUUUAGAAAGUAACCUCCCCAAACCUGGUUGUGUGUAGUGGCUUUGCUGCCAUGCAAAGAAGAAGAAAACAAGGAGAACACCGCCUUGUAAAACGAAGGGAUCUUGACAUGGGCCAAUCAGAGUCGUCUCUUGAUCAUGUGACUUAGGGAAUAUAAACAGUGAGUGACAUCAUCUGUUUACUUCAAGCUUUUGCACGGCUGAUAGACUUCAUUCGAGUACUGUACUAGUAAUAUUUGCCUCUCCUAAAAUUAUGGCAACAGACAUCGAAAGAUUUGCUUUUUUCGAAGAAGCACACUACGACCAAUACGAUUACUACAAUUUAGCCGAAUAUUCAUGUCAUGCUGGUGGAAAAGGUAGAACCAAGAGAGAAAUCGGAUUGAACACCAAUCGCCAUAUCCCUGCUGGACACGAGAGAAAAAUUGCUGAAAAAUAUCAAAACAGUGAACUCAAACGCAGGAGAACCAAAAGUUUAACAUCUUGAUGGACUCUGUGUCAGAUCUCAAACCUAGUUGAAGAUUGAACUGGAACAUGGUCCAAAUUUGUAUUUUUGCCUUUCCUGACCCUAAUGACCCAACGAAAGGAGUUGACUGGGACUGGCCUGCCAGGAAACACACCUUGGCAGUUAGUUUAGAGUGCACUCCUUUUUCCACAUGUUGCACCCCUGUUACUGGACCUAACGGCUCUUCAGUUACAGCAGUGUGCAAGAAUAAAUGGUUUUAAAUGGUUGAAGACAUCUCUAGGACUAUCAUGCUGUUUAUGAUACUGUUUGGUUUUAAAGUGUAAAAAGUACUGUGUUGUGAAUAAAAAGCUGAAUAAAGAGAUGACGAUUUAAAAGAG